rnacentral:rRNA from 1 species
UACGGAGGGGGCAAGCGUUGUUCGGAAUUACUGGGCGUAAAGGGCGCGUAGGCUGCUGCGCAAGUCGAACGUGAAAUCCCUCGGCUCAACUGAGGAACUGCGUCCGAAACUGCGUGGCUCGAGUCCCGGAGAGGGUAGCGGAAUUCCCAGUGUAGCGGUGAAAUGCGUAGAUAUUGGGAGGAACACCAGUGGCGAAGGCGGCUACCUGGACGGUUUCUGACACUAAGACUCGAAAGCGUGGGGAGCAAACAGG